rnacentral:rRNA from 1 species
AGUGAACGCUGGCGGUAGGCCUAACACAUGCAAGUCGAACGGCAGCACAGUAAGAGCUUGCUCUUACGGGUGGCGAGUGGCGGACGGGUGAGGAAUAAAUCGGAAUCUACUUUUUCGUGGGGGAUAACGUAGGGAAACUUACGCUAAUACCGCAUACGACCUACGGGUGAAAGCAGGGGAUCUUCGGACCUUGCGCGAUUGAAUGAGCCGAUGUCGGAUUAGCUAGUUGGCGGGGUAAAGGCCCACCAAGGCGACGAUCCGUAGCUGGUCUGAGAGGAUGAUCAGCCACACUGGAACUGAGACACGGUCCAGACUCCUACGGGAGGCAGCAGUGGGGAAUAUUGGACAAUGGGCGCAAGCCUGAUCCAGCCAUACCGCGUGGGUGAAGAAGGUCUUCGGGUUGUAAAGCCCUUUUGUUGGGAAAGAAAAGCAGCAGGUUAAUACCCCGCUGUUCUGACGGUACCCAAAGAAUAAGCACCGGCUAACUUCGUG